GGAUGGACAUACCGCUGGUGUACCAGUUGUUCCGCCAGGAGCAUCGCUGGGUAGCUACGUGUGGACGGGAUAAGUGCUGAAAGCAUCUAAGCAUGAAGCCCCCCUCAAGAUGAGAUUUCCCAUCACAUUUAGUGAGUAAGAUCCCUCGGAGAUGACGAGGUAGAUAGGUCUCGCGUGGAAGCGUGGCGACACGUGCAGCGGAGAGAUACUAAUCGAUCGAGGGCUUAACCAAU
rnacentral:rRNA from 1 species